AUCUGUGGAGUUCAGAAAAGUUAAGGCUAUCUGAUAAUGAUUACCUAUUUUAGCCCCAUAAUCUGAUUUCUGCAGAAUGACACAGCAUCAGUCUGACUAAAGGAAAAGCUCAAGGGAGGAAGUAAUUGUAAAAAAAAACCUAUGAAUUUACUUAAUAUUUAAAGUUUUUGAGCAGGAAAACAUUAAAGCAGUGGAUCACAUUUUCAUUCCCUGCUAGACAGACUGUUGCUUCUGUACCUACAGUGCCUGGUGCACAGUAGAUUUUCCAUAAAUUUCUGGGCAGUUUAAGGGCAACACUCGGCAUCAAAAUUAUUCUAAAACAUUUACCUAGUAGCAAUCUUCAGGGGGUGCAGAAACUGAUUUUUGACUUUGCAUUUUCUACUGUCAGGAGAAUAAAGAUCAUGCUAAUGACCAUAAUAACUGUUAGGAAUGACCAGCAGAGUUACAUGACUUGUCAGGUUAUUUAAAAUAAUUCAGAGACAUAAGUUACCAGAUCCCAGAGUUGCUACUUCCUGACUUGAGAGGAAAGCACCAGCCUGGCCUCCCCUUCUGCUUCAGUGCAUCACUUCUGCUGAUGCAAUUUUUUUCCAUUCACAGGUCAAAUCUCCCUGCCUCCUUGGCAAGUGCUAACAUUGAAAACAUUGUCAAC
rnacentral:lncRNA from 1 species